UACGUAGGGGGGCAAGCGUUGUCCGGAAUCAUUGGGCGUAAAAGCGCGUGUAGGCGGCUCGAUAAGUCUGCUGUAAAAAAGUCCAGGGGCUCAAACCCCUGGAAAAGCCGGUGGAAAAACUGUCGAGCUAGAGUCCGGAAAGAGGCGAGUGGAAAUUCCUGGUGUAGCGGUGAAAAUGCGCAGAUAUCAGGAGGAAACACCAAUGGCGAAAGGCAGCUCGCUGGGGACGGUACUGACGCUGAGGCGCGAAAAGCGUGGGGGGAGCAAAACAGG
rnacentral:rRNA from 1 species